GUGUUAUCACUAACACACAUCAUGGGAAUGAAGCUCCGGAGCAGAUUUAUACUGUUAUUAUGUGACUGCUAUGCUUGCUUGCUUUCAGGAGAGGCGAGGUUUAGGGGAAGUCCCUGCCAGCAUCAACUCUCACACUAGACUGAAAGCUCAGACAUUAAACAUUCACCAGCAGAGACGUGAGAGAGAACACAGUGAACACAGAUUGUGACCAGGGGAAGAUCCAAUGUAAAGGACACCAGGAAAAGACUACAAACAGGACAUUUUUAUCAUAUGAUGGGGCUGUGAGCACAGCUCUUAGUGGGUAUCCUGUUAUACAGCCCUGGCUAAGUGCGAGGAUUAUUAUACAGCCAUGGAUGAGUGAAGCUGUAGUUACAGAGCUGCUGUGCAGAUCGUCUCUGAAUGUUUUCGACAGUGAGAGAGUGCUGUACAGUCCUCAUUGCUGGAGACAUUGACCACACAGGAGCCGUUGCUUAUAAUGAACUGCAGGGCGAGUUGGAACCCACUUCCAAAAGUUUUCAGCUGAUGGUUGUUUCAAGGGAGAUGCAGCGAUCACUGUGUUAAUGUGC